UGCUUAUCUUACUUGCCAAUUAGUGGGGGAUAACUCUGGUGCGCCAGAACUAAUACCGCAUUUGUUGCUUCGGCAAUGAAAGGGAAUCGCAAGAUUUUCGCUAAUUGAUAGGGAUAAGUCGUAUUAGUUUGUUGGAGGGGUAAUGGCCUACCAAGACGAUGAUGCGUAGCCGGGCUGAGAGGCUGAUCGGCCACAAGGGAACUGAGACACGGUCCCUACUCCUACGGGAGGCAGCAGUGAGGAAUUUUCGGCAAUGGGGGAAACCCUGACCGAGCAAUACUACGUGAAGGAGGAAGGUCUACGGAUUGUAAACUUCUGUUAGUGCGGAAGAAGGGCUGAAUGCAAGUUCGGCCUUGACGGUACGCACAGAGAAAGCCACGACUAACUACGUGCCAGCAGUCGCGGUAAGACGUAGGUGGCGAACGUUAUCCGGAAUUAUUGGGCGUAAAGGGUGCGUAGGCGGCGGAAUAAGUUAGUGGUGGAAAAUCGGGGCUCAACCUCGUGGAAGUCAUUAAUACUGUUUUGCUAGAGGACAGGAGAGGUUAACGGAAUUCCCUGUGGAGCGGUAAAAUGUGUAGAUAUAGGGAAGAACACCAAUAAGGCGAAGGCAGUUAACUAUUCUGUUCCUGACGUUGAGGCACGAAAGCGUGGGGAGCAAAUAGGAUUAGAUACCCUAGUAGUCCACGCCCUAAACGAUGAGUGCUAGACAUUGGAAACUUGAUUUUCAGUGUCGCUAGAUAACUCGGUAAGCACUCCGCCUGGGUAGUACGUUCGCAAGAGUGAAACUCAAAGGAAUUGACGGGGACUCGCACAAGCACUGGAGCAUGUGGUUUAAUCCGAUGCAACGCGUAGAACCUUACCAAGGCUUGACAUGUUUGGCAAAACUGUGGAAACACAGCGGAGGUUAUCCAAACACAGGUGCUGCAUGGCCGUCGUCAGUUCGUGCCGUGAGGUGUAUGGUUAAGUCCUAUAACGAACGCAACCCUUGGGCUUAGUUGCCAGCAUUCAGUUGGGGACUCUAGGCCGACUGCCUGAGUAAUCAGGAGGAAGGAAAGGAUC
rnacentral:rRNA from 1 species